rnacentral:rRNA from 1 species
UACGUAGGGUGCGAGCGUUAAUCGGAAUACUGGGCGUAAAGCGUGCGCAGGCGGUUGCUAAGACCGAUGUGAAAUCCCCGGCUAACCUGGGAACUGCAUUGGUGACUGGCAGGCUAGAGUAUGGCAGAGGGGGGGUAGAAUUCCACGUGUAGCAGUGAAAUGCGUAGAGAUGUGGAGGAAUACCGAUGGCGAAGGCAGCCCCCUGGGCCAAUACUGACGCUCAUGCACGAAAGCGUGGGGAGCAAACGAAGGA